GAUGAACGCUGGCGGCGUGCCUAACGCAUGCAAGUCGAGCGAGGACCGCCCGGUGGCAACACCGGGUUGGUGCCUAGCGGCGAACGGGUGAGUAACACGUGGGUAACCUGCCCCCGACACCGGGAUAAGCCUGGGAAACUGGGUCUAAUACCGGAUAUGAGCCUCCUCCGCAUGGUGGGGGCUGGAAAGGGUCUCCGGUCGGGGAUGGGCCCGCGUCCUAUCAGCUUGUUGGUGGGGUAACGGCCUACCAAGGCGACGACGGGUAGCCGGCCUGAGAGGGUGAACGGCCACACUGGGACUGAGACACGGCCCAGACUCCUACGGGAGGCAGCAGUGGGGAAUAUUGCACAAUGGGCGAAAGCCUGAUGCAGCAACGCCGCGUGAGGGAUGACGGCCUUCGGGUUGUAAACCUCUUUUAGCAGGGAAGAAGCGAAAGUGACGGUACCUGCAGAAAAAGCACCGGCUAACUACGUGCCAGCCGC
rnacentral:rRNA from 1 species